rnacentral:lncRNA from 1 species
AAGGCAGAACAACAUGACUGAAGGCGAUGAGGAACAGCUGAUCACCUGUGGAAGUCAUUUGUCCUAAAUUGUCAUGGACAGACCAUGUGCCUUACAGCAAGAAAAUUCUGUGAAUAAACAGGAAGCCAGCCAGCCAGGGAAGAUGCUUUUGUGAUAUAUCCCAGCAUGCUGAUGACCCCAAGGAGGACCACUGGAUACCUAGCAAGGAAAAAGAAGAACUGAUUGAAGAGUGGCAACCAGAACCUCUUGUUCCUCCUGUCCCAAAAGACCAUCCUGCUCUCAACUACAACAUCGUUUCAGGAAACAUCUGCGUGAGAAGGGCCCCUCUCAUAAAAUGAAAACAAAGGACAGAAAGCAUUGCUGAGGGCUUAAGGUGUGGAUGAAAUGACACAUUGAAGCUGAAGAAUCCCCAUGUUGACAGCAUUCAAUCCAAGAAAAGCUCCACUGUACACAUGUUCUAACAUAUGGUAAAAUUUCAAUCUCUUAUCUCUUGAUAUUAGUGUUCAUCCUCAGAAUCACCAAGGGACCAUUUUGCAGAAGGAAGAUCUACUAAAAUAAGUCAGGGACUUGGUGGCUAGGAAUCAAUGCAUUUUUUUUUAACAUGGAAAAAGCAUAUGAAUCAGUACUCUGUAAAUAACCAAACAAAUACAGUUCCCAAACUCU